rnacentral:rRNA from 1 species
GUAGGUGGCAAGCGUUGUCCGGAAUUAUUGGGCGUAAAGCGCGCGCAGGCGGUUUUUUAAGUCUGAUGUGAAAGCCCACGGCUCAACCGUGGAGGGUCAUUGGAAACUGGAGAACUUGAGUACAGAAGAGGAAAGCGGAAUUCCACGUGUAGCGGUGAAAUGCGUAGAGAUGUGGAGGAACACCAGUGGCGAAGGCGGCUUUCUGGUCUGUAACUGACGCUGAGGCGCGAAAGCGUGGGGAGCAAACAGGGAUUAGAUACCCUGGUAGUCCACGCCGUAAACGAUGAGUGCUAAGUGUUAGGGGGCUUCCGCCCCCUUAGUGCUGCAGCUAACGCAUUAAGCACUCCGCCUGGGGAUACGGCCGCAAGGCUG